GAAAAGAAGAAGAAAAAAAACCGUACGUGCUGAGAAACAGGCCAAGUGGCUAUCAUUCAUUCCUCCUCCUCCUCGAAGAGAGCCAGCUGGAUGGAGCACUACAUGACAGUGUGUAAAAUUAGACAUAUUUAACGGGUGACGACAAGGUUUUCUCUGUCUACGUUCAGGAGCCUAUCGUAAUGAGAUCCAGUUGGUUUCUUAAGAAAAUAGGAGCGUGUGCAAUUACUGAGUUCACCGUUUGUUUCUGUUUAACUUUGCAGCUUCUUCCCAAGAUGCCUCGGGGCAUGUCUAGGAAAAAAAAAAAUGUCAGCACGUGUUGCUAAGCAGUCUGGUCCUUAAGGUGUUCUCCAAAUUCAGAGUCCUUUGGUGGCCAUGUCCUGGGGCACCAGAGCGGGAAAGACUGGGGUACCAGGGCCUGAGAGCAGCACCUCUCUUGACUGGCUCCAUGCGGCUGAGGCAUCCUGGUUCCUGCCAGAGUGCAGCCUCAAUUUUCUCAACUGCAUGGAGGAGCCAGGCGAGGCGAAGCAGCGAUGAGCUAGAGCUAAGGAAAUUGGCAGCUGAGUGCCGAGCUCUCUCCGGGGUCAAGGUUUCUGAAGGGAUCCUAAUUAAAGCCUCAUGAGUGCAGGUCUCUGUACAGUUGCUUGUUGACCUUGGGAUUGCUGGGUGAGAGAGAGGAAGGAGACGGGAGAGGGGCCCAGAGGAAGAGCCAGAGAAGGGAAAAGGAGCUGGCAAGGAGGAGAGAAAGGAGAGAAAGGAAGGUUCCAAAGGGGGCUGUGGGGAGGGCACUUGGGAGACUGCGGAAGGGGGAGAGAUCUGAAGCAGAGAAACAAGAUGAGAGACCGCGGAAGCGGGAGAGAUCUGAAGCCGAAAACCAAGUUGGUGAAAACGAGGAGAGAAGAACAAAUAUGCAUUGGUCAGUUAAUUUCUAGAACAUACCAAGUAGAAAUGGCCAUCCCCCACAGCGUGUGUAUGAGGAUGAGAUCGGAGAAGGUGUGGUAUGCAGUGCAAGCAGGGAGCAUAUUUUCUUCGACGCAGACACGAGACAUGCUUGGUAUCCAUUGAUCAUGGAGUCGAGCGCACAUGGACACACAUAUGUGCUUGAAACAGGGGAUCUUUGCCAGGCAUUUUGAAACGUGUUACAGAAUCUACUGGCUAUGGUCAACAGCACCCCAAAUCGGAGGCCAUAUGAACGUUAGGCUUCUUUCCACUCUGGGCUGCCAACAGCUGCCAAGUCCCCUCCUUUUGUCCCCGUGGAGAGACACAGUUGUGUGUUUUCCUAGAAACGAAGCCGUGGGACCUCCAGGGCAGAUGGGUGAAGAGAAGCCAGGAGAUAGACUCUGAUUGAACUCAUUCUCCAGACAAAGCUUGUAAUCAGGUGACCUGGCUCCAAAUGCCACCCAAAGAGGAAACACGGAGAUCCCGCCCUGCUCUGUUCAAUUUUCUCCCAGAUGCCGGGGAUCUUGAUCUCUGAAAACAAAACAAAGCAAAACACAGGUCACCGAAACCCCUUUGCCCUCUUAACCUGUCCUUACCGUAUGUUUUCUACUAAAGGAAACAGAGCAGAUACUGAAGUCCAAAUUAGGAAGAUAAUGUUCCUGUCUGUUUCUAAAGAAAAGUAAAAAAGGUUGAAGAUGACCUAAAAAUCCUUGUAGGUCAAUCCUCCGGGGGCUUGCAGGAGCCCAGGGCUGUUUCGUAGAUUCCUGUGCAACGCUGAUACUCUCCUCACUCCUAGACCAUCCAGUGAGGUGUAAGACAGAACUUCAACUUGUAGCGUUUGCUGAUUUCUGUAGCCCUGUGGUCAACCAGCUCGCCUGUGGUGGUGUCCCUGAUGUCCCUGAAGGAAGGGCUAGAAGAGACGUACAACUCAGACUUCAGCAAUCCAUUCAUUGGUUGGCCCCAAGUCCUUCCGCCCCCUGUCUUCUUCAUAGCCCUCUUCCAAUUCUGGUCCAUUCUGCUGUGAGGGAGCUCCCUUGGAACAUGAAGACAUUUGGUCCAUCCUGUGGUGUGCUAGGCAGUUUUUGUCAACUUGACACAAACUAGAGUCCCUCGGGAAGGGAACCUCAGCUGAGGAACUGUCUCCGUCAAAUUGGUCCAUGGAUGUGUCUGUGAGGCGUUUUCUUGAUUAAUAACUGAUGGAGGAGGAACCAGUCCAAAAUGGGUGGUGCCACCCCUGAGCAGGUGGUCCUAGGUUGCGUAAGAGAGCAGGCUGAGCAAACCAUGGAGAGCAAGCCAGUACAUAGUGUUAUUCCAUGGUCUCUGCUUCAGUUCCUGCCUCCCAGUUCCUGUCUGAGCUCUUGCCCUGGCUUCCUUUGAUGGUAGACUCUAACCUAAAAGAGAUCAUGAAUGUUUUCCUCUCUAAGUUGCUUUCGGUCAGGAUGUUUAAUCACAGUGCCAGAAACCAUCCAGCGCCCCGCAGAGCCUAAGAUCAAGUUCAGUCCUACCGUGUGCCACCAGCUGCUUCAUGUGCCGAUCCUAGAGCUUGCGUAAGUCAGGCCACCCUCGAACUGUUGGUACCGGGGAAAUCAACAAUCAGGUGACCAUUUGUGGAAUCCUUUGGACUGAGAGAAGUGAGGGGAGAGCAUGGAAGGAGGGAAACCCAGGAUUCAUGCUGGACCACAACCGGCAGGCAGGCAUCCCUGGAGAAGAGGGAGGGAGAGGGCCUGUGCGCUUCAGGCCAUGUCCUGCUGGGAACCGAAGACAUCAAGCAUCCCUGUGCAAGCUUCCUCCAUGAUGCUAAUGAGGCCAUUAAAAGAGAAGGACCUCUCUGAAGGCGGUGCUGUGGACUGUGCUUCCCUUCUCCUUUAACCCUGGGAAAGAGCUUGCACUACACAUCCACUUCCUGCCACUCUUCUGUCCUUGCUUUGGCAUCUCCUCCCGCCCAUGGCUGCAUCAACCUCAGCAACUGUGGAAUGACCCUGCAGGGUCAAGUCCAGCCAGCACUUGCCUUACCUUGCAGGGUCUCUGUGACAUUGGGCCCAUGGACCGUGCCUGCUCCUGAAACUAGUCCCUCAUUUUUCUUGACCUUCCCCCAUGGCCUUCCUUUUAGUACCUUCAAUUAUUUUUUUUAACUUUUUUUUUCAAAUUUUAAAGAUAUAUUCAUUUAUUUUGCAUGUAUGGAUGUUUUGACUACAUGCUUGUGUGACAAGUGUACACUGUGUGCAUGCCUGUUAGAUACCCUGGAACUGCAGUAUGGAUGGUUGUGAACUACUGUGUGGGCACUGGGAAUAGAACCCAGGUCCUCUGCAAGAGCAACAAGUGCUCUUAACCACUGAGCCAUCUCUCCAGCUCCUUAGUACCUUUGUUAUCUAGGUCUUUCCUUUGCUUCUUCUGUUACCCUCCCAAUACAUCAACCUCAAGCCGGUGGGCCUUGUUCUUUCCCUGAGUGAUAGGCCCAGGGCCCCACUGGACAGGUCCAGAGUGGGCAGCCACAGGCCUCCACAUCAGCGGUGGGAAGCUGAUUGCCUUGUGUUCAGGCCACCUCAUUGUUGUGCCAGGACCCAGGAGGUGUCCUGGAAGUCAUCAUGUACCUUUAGCUUUUGCAUUCUCCUCCCACAUUUGAUAGUUCCUGCUGCUUUUAUCCCUCCGAAGAGCUUCCAACUUUAUUCUUGCAUUUCUGCACGUUUUUACAGUUUCAAAGUCCUUACCACCUCUCACCCCCCAAACCUGGCCCUGAUCCACUUAAAGCUUCCAGAAUAAUCCUUUGAAAAAAUAAAUUUGAACACAUUC